rnacentral:rRNA from 1 species
AUAUAUAAGUAGAAUUAUAAAGAUCUUAAUUUUAAUAUUCAAAUAUGAUAUGAAUUAUAUAAUAAAUAAGAAUUAAUAAUAAUAUAUUAUGAGUAUCAAUAAUUAAUUAAAUAAAAUAGUUUUUAAGUUUAUUAUUAAUAAUAAAUAAUACUAUAUAUAGGAAACUAUAAAAAACUUAUAGUUUUUUUAUGUAUUCCCUGUUUGGGAAAACACGGAAACUAUAAAAUAUGAAAAUAUAAUGAACUGAAUUAACUUAGUAAUUAUAUAAAUAAUAAAUAACAAUGAUAUUAUUAAGUAGUGGUGAACGAAAGAUAAUAUAAUCUAAUAAGUAAUAUGUUAUAUAUAUAAUAUAUGAAUAUAGUAGAUCUACUACUAAAGAUAUAAUAAAAUUUAAUUAAAUUAAAGUACCGAGAGGGAAAGAUAUAUAAUAGUAUAUUAUAAAGUAAUAUUAAUAAUAUUAAAUAAAAUAUUAAAAAUAUGUACCUUUUGUAUAUGGGUUAGUGAGUAUAUAUUAAUAGCAAGAUUAUAAUUUUAAUCUAUAAUAAUUUGUAAAAAAUUUAAGUUAUUAAUAUAUAACCCGAAAAUGUGUGGUCAUACUUAAUAUAAGUAUAUGAAUUUUUCUGAAUUUAUAUGACUGAACUAGUUGGUGUUGCAAUACCAUUAGAUAAUAUUAGGUAAGCUGUGAAAUACAAAUCAUACACAUAUAUAGCUGGUUUGCUGUGAAAUAUAUAUUCGUAUAGCUAUUAUAAUUAAUAAUAUGAGAUAUAGCACUUUAUACAUAAAAAACCCUUAGGGGUAUAUUUUGAAUUUGGGGAGAUGUUAUCUUUAUCAAAUGUAUAUAAUCUCAAAAUGCAUAUUAUUUUAUUUAUAAUAAGUUAGACUUAGGGUGAUAAGGUCAUAAGUCGAAAGAGAAACAGCUCUAAACAAAGAUUUAAGGUUCCUAAUUAUCCAUUAUUAUGGUUAUAUAAUAGGUAAGAAUUAUAUUAUUUAAUUUAACAAUUUAGUAGGUGGGUUUGAUAGUAAUCAUCCUUUAAAAAUAGUGUAAUAACAUACUAAUUAAUUAAUUAUUAUUAAAUAAUGUAAUAAAAUUUAUUGGACCUCAAUAUAUAAACCUAUACUUUGUAUAUAUUAAUUCCAUCCUAAUAGGGUGAAAUUAUUAUAUGGUAACAGCAUAAUUAAUAAAAUAUAUUAUAUAAAUAUUAUAAUUUAUAUUUAUCAUUUUCAUUUUUUGAAAUUAUUUAAUUAAUUAAAGAAUGCUAACAUGAGUAACGUAAAAUAAAGUUAAUUAAUAAUCUUUAUCACCUAAAGUAUAAGGUUUUAUAAUAAAUACAGUUCUUAAAUUAAAAAUAUAAUUAUUUUAAUGAUAGAUAAUUUAAUAUAUAUAAAUUAAAAAAUUUACCCUUAGGGUGAAUUUAAUACUAGAAGAGUUAUAUAUUUUCUAUACUGUAAUGAAAUCCGACACUGGUAUACUUUUUGAGAAUAUUAAGGUGAAUGAGUUAACCCUAUAGAAUGAACUCGGCAAAAAUUGGUCUAAUAUCUUUGGAUUAUGGACACCAAAUUAACUCUUCGGAGUUAAUUUGAUAAAAACUAAAUAGUACAACUGUUUACUUAAAACACAGUUCUAUGCUAAAAUUUUAAAUUAUUGUAUAUAGAAUGAUACCUGCUCAAUAAUUACAUAUAAAAUAAUAUGAUAAUUUGUCAUAUAUUUAAAGUGUAGUUAAAUUGCAGUCUUAUUUUGAGGAUUAUAAUGUAGCGAAAUUCCUUGUCCAAUAAUUAUGGUCCUGCAUGAAUGGUUUAAUGAUACUAUAACUGUAUCCUAUAGGGGCUCAGUGAAAUUGAAAUGGUCGUGAAGAUUCGAUCACGGUUGUAGCUAGACAAGAAGACCCUAGCAUCUUUACUAUAUGUUGUUAAUUGUAUAAUAAUAUUAUAAAUUAAUAUUAUAUAUUUAUAUUUUUAUUUUAUUAAUAUUUAUAUACUUAUCCUUUAUUUUGGAAACAGUUACAAUAUGAUAGUUUAAUUGGGGCGAUUUCUUCAGCAAAAAUAUCUGAAGAGUUCGAAAUAAAAUUUUAUAAAUUUAAUUUAUUUAUAAUAUAUAUGAAUAUUUUAAUAUUCAUUAAAUAAUAGAAUAUUUAAAGUGUAAUUAUAUUGGAUAUAAAACCAAUCAAUUUUUAAUAAAUAUGAAGAUAUAAUCUUAAUUGAAUUGAAUUAAUUAUUUAAGUAUAAUAGCUUAAUUACACUAUAAUUGUAUUACUUACAAGUAUAACAAAUAGGUAACUAUGAUAUAAUGAACAAAUAAUGUUAAUAGAUAUAACUUAUUGAUAACGGUUAAGUUACGCUAGGGAUAAACAGGCUAAUAUUACAUAAGAGUACAUAUCGUAAGUAAUGUUUGGCACCUCGAUGUCGACUUAUCGCAUCCUACAAGUGUAGCAGUUUGUAAGGGUUUGACUGUUCGUCAAUUAAAGCGGUACAUGAGUUGGGUUAAAUACGUUUAAGACAGUAUGGUUUUUAUCUACUAUAACCAUAUUAUUAAUAUAAGGAGAUAUUAGUAGUACGAAAGGAUCCUAAUAAAUAUACCAAUGGUGUAUUUCGAUAUUUUUUAUAAUAUUGAUAUUAGCUAAGUAUAUAAAAAUUUUAUAAUAAAUACUGAUAGCCUAUCAAGUAUGAAUUUUACCUAUAGAUAAUAAUUAAUUAAUGAUAUAAACUAUAUCAAUAAUAUUAAUAAGAAUGAAUUGAUUAUCAUUUUUUUAUAAAGACAAUAAUAAUUGUCAUUAAUAUUUUAAUAAUAUUAUAUAAUCUCUUAUAUGAAUAUUAAAAUUAAGAUUUUUAUAA